rnacentral:lncRNA from 1 species
CGUAUUGUUGCUGCUCCAGCUAGUGACUCAGCGAAGUGAUGGAGGAUUGGAGCUCUCUGUAUACCAGCUAAACGUGCCAAUUCUCUUGCCGUUGGUAUGUAAUAUCGCUGAAAAUUUGAUGAAUAGAUGUAGGAUUAUACUGUAAGGAUUUGCUAUGUGGCAACCUGAAAAUUGCAUUAAAAUAUGUCUAAUCGGUCUAAAAUAUUUUGCAUGACAGAUUUGUUCCUGCUUCCUGCUAAAAUCUGAAUGUAGAACUGUAGUAAUAAGCUUUUGAAUAUGAUUCAGGAUUUCUCCCUCUGAGGUUAAGUAUUAUAAAACAGCUUUUGAAUUCUCCAAAGAAUUGACUUGAGUGCAAUAGCAAGGGUCAAAAUGAUUUACCUGGUACCAUAUGCAGAUGGCUGUGACAGGAAUGAAGAGGACAAACACUUCCCAUGCUACCUGCGACAUGACUGCUAUGGUUCCAAGUAACUGGAUAAUUGAGAAUGCACACCAGCCUAUUUUGUUUGCCAACUCCAAGUCUAGGACACUUUGAUCUGUUGAUGCCUGUGCAUGACAUAAAUGGUUGUUUUCAUUCUUAAAAACAAUAUUCCAGAGUAUCAACAGCAAAAAAAAGUGAACUCCAUGAUAUCAGAAAUCAAAUAGUGUGAAACUUAAAUUUGCCUCAUAAGUAGUAUACUGAAACCUUUGCCUUUCCCAUGCAUUUGGCCCAAUUUAUGCGCUCCUUUGUAUUUAGGAUGAUCAAUAGGCUCCAAGAACUCAUUUUCAAGUUUAGGCAGCGCCCAUGAUUAAGCAUGUAUGCAUUUAGUAUCUGAGCUUGAAUAUGCCUAGCAUGUAUCCAUUUCUUGAGGAGCUAGUCAGUCAUAUAAUAAUGCCACCAGAUAGAUUUGGUCAAUUAAAGAUGGAGUAUUGCCCAUUUCAUGCGGAGCUUGUCAGUCGCAUAGUUAUUCUCAAUUGGUUGAAAAAGCUAGCACUAUUUGAUGAAGCAAUAGAUGAAUUUUGUCCAGUACAAACUACAAAGACGGUUAGACCAUUAGAGGAAUAUUAUAUGGUCAAUUCCUUCAGAUAUCCUGCUUACUGUCUUUCUUCUUUUUUUUGUCAGAAGUGACAAGAAUAAUUUCUAACCUUAAACCCACAGUAAUACCAAAAGCCAGUAACUUCUGGUACCACUGAGGAGACUAUAAACUACACUCACACACCCAACUCAAACGAUGUGGGAUACGGGGAAGGGAACAAGGGGACUAACCCACUCACUUCUGCUUACUGUCUUUCUUCUUGAUAUCAAGUUCCUGUAAAUCUUGCAAAAUGUAGUAUGUCAUUGAAGGUUGGUUAAUUUGCUGCCUAUCAUACAAUUUGCUUAUUUUCUUUGCUACAAACUGAUUGGAUUUGAUAAAACUUUCAAAUGAUAUAAGUUCUCUAUGCCGAGUUUCAUCUAGCAUAGACUAAAUGACUUGAUGCUUAUGACAUAUCAGACAAUAACAGAAAACCAUAAUUUGCAAAUUCAGAUCAAUUAGCAGCUAUACAGACACUUAAAAAUUGGUUUUUUCUGUUAACCUAUCUCUUGAUCUGCUUUCUACUUUUUAACUACAGAAAUUCUUAACUAGCCUAUGCUGAAGCUCUUAAUGCCUACAUGAUAAGAUUAACUCCAAGACAGACAGCCAAAGUAAAGAACACUAAAAAAAUUCAAUGUUGCACGAAAGUUUUCAGCUUCCAAUGACAACAAUAGUUAAAUAUUUUAUCCUGUUUAAUCAUGCUUACGUACCCUGUUUAAAAUUCUUCCAGUUGGAGUUGAGUCAAAGAAAGCCAUAGGAGCACGAAUAAUGCUGUGCAGCAUGUUGCUGAAUAGCUUCUCUGAGGUCAAAAGGCCUGUUAUAGCCAAUAAUGUGGCUCGGAUCAGCACACAA